AUUUCCAAGCAUUAUUCGUUAAAGACAUAGAUCAUUUUCUUUUCCUCCCCCCCCCACCCCCCAUAGCCGACGCGUAAGUCCACUGGGCAUUAGAUGUUUUCUUGAUUUGAACCCAUUGCUUUGUUGAUAGUAUUUGCAUUAGAGUGUUCAUUUAGAGUCUAUCCUCUGUCAUGUCCCCUCAACCUCUGUAUUCAGGCAGUUGCUUUUUCUCGGUGUUAAACGUCUUCAUUUUGCCACUUUUAGGGUAUUUUUAGGCAAACUGCCUUUUCAUACCAAGCGUGACUUAUGUCGGCUCCAACCUUGAUGAAGUGCCUGCCUUCUUGAUUUUUCCCUUCUUUCCUCUCUGAAAGCUGGAACUUGGAGACUGGUUCUACUGGAAAAGAAACCCACACCAAGCCUGCCUGACCAGGCCGUCGGCAACAAAGCUGGAAGGAGGUGACAGCUGGAUACAUCUUCUCAUCUGAAGAGGACCCCAACUCCUGAGAGGAUGGCUCCGCUCACUUCUGGUGAUUUCAAGCUCCAACUGACCCAGCAAAAGAGCAGCAGUGGACCACUUCCCCAAGACUCUGCAUGUGGGCUGAAUCACUGGGCCCAAGGUUCAACAGUACAUGGAACUCUUCAACUCCUCCCUCGGCAGCAUUCAGGAAACUUAUCUUGCCCAAAAAGGGGAGAUGGUCCAAUGCAGGCAUCAGAGGGGCUUCCUUGACUACAUUGACCUCACAGUUAGAGCAGGUCCUGUGAUGUCUCUGAAAACUCACUGCCCCUGGAACAGGUUCUUCUGACCAAGCUUCAAUUCCGGGGGCCUUUGGCUAUUUUGCAAAAUGACUUAACUCCUUCCUGUUGCUGUCCCUCCCAAGCAUUCCUCAUUAUGCCCCUUCUGCUCCUGCCACUCUGGUGCUGUGUGGCCACUGUGUAUUGCAUUUGUCUUUGCUUCCAUUAAAGACCCUUAUUGAUGCUA